UACGUGAGGGGGCUAGCGUUGUCCGGAAUCAUUGGGCGUAAAGGCGCGACGUAGGCGGCCCGGUAAGUCCGCUUGUGAAAGUCAAAGGGCUCAAACCUUUCGGAAUGUCAGCGGAUACUGCCGGGCUAGAGUCCGGAAGAGGCGAGUGGGAACGUCCUGGAUCGUAGCGGUGGAAUGACGCAGAUAUCAGGAAGAACACCAACGGCGCAAGGCAGCUCGCUGGGACGGUACUGACGCUGAGGCGACGAAAGGCGUGGGGAGCGAACAGG
rnacentral:rRNA from 1 species